rnacentral:rRNA from 1 species
AGCGAACGCUGGCGGCAGGCUUAACACAUGCAAGUCGAACGGGCAUCUUCGGAUGUCAGUGGCAGCCGGGUGAGUAACACGUGGGAACGUACCCUUCGGUUCGGUAUAAAUCAGGGUAACUUGAGUUAAUACCGGAUACGCCAUUUUGGGGAAAGGUUUACGGCAGCAGGGUUGGCCCGCGUCUGACUAGCUUGUUGGGGGGGUAACGGCCUACCCAGGCGACGUUCAGUAGCUGGUCUGAGAGGGUGAUCGGCCACACUGGAACUGAGACACGGCCCAGACUCCUACGGGAGGCAGCAGUAUAGAAUAUUGGACAAUGAGCGCAAGCCUGAUCCAGCCAUGCCGCGUGAGUGAUGAAGGCCUUAGGGUUGUAAAGCUCUUUUGUCCGGGACGAUAAUGACGGUACCUGAAGAAUAAGCCCCGGCUAACUUCGUG